GCCUCUGUGCUGUAGUGGUAGCACGCUUCCUCUGUAUGAAUGAAACGCGGGUUCGACUGCCGUCUGAGGCC